rnacentral:rRNA from 1 species
CAAUGCAGUCGAACGCUGAAGCCUGGUGCUUGCACCGGGUGGAUGAGUGGCGAACGGGUGAGUAACACGUGAGUAACCUGCCCCUGACUUCGGGAUAAGCCCGGGAAACUGGGUCUAAUACCGGAUACGACUGCCGGACGCAUGUCUGGUGGUGGAAAGUUUUUUCGGUUGGGGAUGGGCUCGCGGCCUAUCAGUUUGUUGGUGAGGUAAUGGCUCACCAAGACGACGACGGGUAGCCGGCCUGAGAGGGCGACCGGCCACACUGGGACUGAGACACGGCCCAGACUCCUACGGGAGGCAGCAGUGGGGAAUAUUGCACAAUGGGGGAAACCCUGAUGCAGCGACGCAGCGUGCGGGAUGACGGCCUUCGGGUUGUAAACCGCUUUCAGCAGGGAAGAAGCGCAAGUGACGGUACCUGCAGAAGAAGUACCGGCUAACUACGUGCCAGCAGCCGCGGUAAUACGUAGGGUACGAGCGUUGUCCGGAAUUAUUGGGCGUAAAGAGCUCGUAGGUGGUUGGUCACGUCUGCUGUGGAAACGCAACGCUUAACGUUGCGCGUGCAGUGGGUACGGGCUGACUAGAGUGCAGUAGGGGAGUCUGGAAUUCCUGGUGUAGCGGUGAAAUGCGCAGAUAUCAGGAGGAACACCGGUGGCGAAGGCGGGACUCUGGGCUGUAACUGACACUGAGGAGCGAAAGCAUGGGGAGCGAACAGGAUUAGAUACCCUGGUAGUCCAUGCCGUAAACGUUGGGCACUAGGUGUGGGGGGCAUUCCACGUUCUCCGCGCCGUAGCUAACGCAUUAAGUGCCCCGCCUGGGGAGUACGGUCGCAAGGCUAAAACUCAAAGGAAUUGACGGGGGCCCGCACAAGCGGCGGAGCAUGCGGAUUAAUUCGAUGCAACGCGAAGAACCUUACCAAGGCUUGACAUACACCGGACCGUCCUGGAAACAGGUCCUCUUCUUUGAAGCUGGUGUACAGGUGGUGCAUGGUUGUCGUCAGCUCGUGUCGUGAGAUGUUGGGUUAAGUCCCGCAACGAGCGCAACCCUCGUUCUAUGUUGCCAGCACGUGAUGGUGGGAACUCAUAGGAGACUGCCGGGGUCAACUCGGAGGAAGGUGGGGAUGACGUCAAAUCAUCAUGCCCUUUAUGUCUUGGGCUUCACGCAUGCUACAAUGGCUGGUACAGAGAGAGGCGAACCCGUGAGGGCAAGCGAAUCCCUUAAAGCCAGUCUCAGUUCGGAUCGUAGUCUGCAAUUCGACUACGUGAAGUCGGAGUCGCUAGUAAUCGCAGAUCAGCAACGCUGCGGUGAAUACGUUCCCGGGCCUUGUACACACCGCCCGUCAAGUCACGAAAGUCGGUAACACCCGAAGCCGGUGGCCUAACCGUAAGGAGGGGGCCG